rnacentral:rRNA from 1 species
UCGAGGAUCUUCGGCAAUGGGCGCAAGCCUGACCGAGCGACGCCGCGUGUGGGAUGAAGGCCUUCGGGUUGUAAACCACUGUCAGUGGGGAGGAAAUACGGGUGGGUUCUCCCAUCCGCUUGACCUAUCCGCAGAGGAAGUGUGGGCUAAGCUCGUGCCAGCAGCCGCGGUAAGACGAGCCACACUAACGUUAUUCGGAAUUACUGGGCUUAAAGGGUGCGUAGGCUGUGCAGAAAGUUGGGUGUGAAAUACCUCGGCUUAACCGAGGAACUGCGCCCAAAACUACUGUGCUCGAGGAAGACAGAGGUGAGCGGAACUUAGGGUGGAGCGGUGAAAUGCGUUGAUAUCCUAAGGAACACCGGUGGCGAAAGCGGCUCACUGGGUCUUUUCUGACGCUGAGGCACGAAAGCCAGGGUAGCGAACGGGAUUAGAUACCCCCGUAGUCC